AAUCAUAAUAUAUAUUUUAUUUAUUUGAAUGGAAAGUUUUUUAGUUUGUUGUGGAACUAGACUAGAAAUUACCUAAUAAGCUUCUUAUAACUUGUGUAAUGUGUUUCUUUUACGAAUUUGUAUAUUGGUAUAAUCAUAUCAUGCUAUUCCUACAAUAUUAUAACUAACACUGACUCUCAUAAGUUUGAGUCUCGAGUCACGAAAAAGGAUAGUGUUGCUAAACGAUUUACAGUCGAUAAUUUUUCGAAAGCAGAAAAACUCAAGUUAGCAUCAAAUAGAAAGUUAGCGCAAUUUCUGUGUCAAACAAAGAAUACGCGAAUUAUUUGAGAUUUGCUAAGAAAGUAAAAAUCAAACUAGUUUCAUUCUAAGUUAUUGUAUAUAAUUUUAAAAUUU